rnacentral:lncRNA from 1 species
UAAACGCCAAGUAAUGCCAUUUGUGAAGUAUUAUACAUAUAUAUUUAGUUUCUAUGCAAACUUUUUUGAAAUAUAAACGUAUGAGAUUAUACAAAAUUACAAUGGUGUGUGAUAACAAACACUAAAAUGGUGUGCAGAACGGGAAGUUGAUUAAAACCUUGAAGUUUACACGAGAAAAACCAAUGAAAUUUAUUAACUACACAAUGAAAACAUACACAAACAUGGCUCUCAAUGCCAGAUAAAUGAAAUCCAAACAAUGGUCCUAUCCACGUGAACUACUCUCAUAAUUCAUAAACACCACCAGAAACGCCCAAAUCUAACAGGUAUACAUAAAGCGACACCAAAUAAUCCAAACGACAAGUCUGUCUACAUGAUGAGGCCCAAGGCAACCCAGGCAAAUACCACCGAGGUAGCACUCAUAGUCGCAAUCGUGGCGGAGGAGCCAGGAGACGGGGGCGCAGGCGGGCCCUCCGGUGUACUAGGAGCCGCUCCUGGAGUCCCCGGUGAUGGACUUCCACCGGGUGUUGAAGACGGUGAUCCCGGCGUUGGUGAGGGUGAUGAAGACGGUGAUCCCGGCGUUGGCGCUGGUGUUGGUGUUGGUGUUGGUGUUGGUGACGGAGACGGUGAUCCCGGCGGUGUAGGGGCGACACCGGGGGCCGGGGCUGGGGCUGGGGUGGGGACCACAGGGGGAGAAGGAGCCGGUGACGGAGACGGAGACGAGGCGGCAGUGACAUUGAUGGCCAGCUUUUGGCCCAAGGAGCAAUGAGUGCCGAAUGUACAGAUGUAGUGAUGCUCUCCGGUGGCGUUGAGAGUGGUGUUCCAUGGGCCAACGGUGGCGAGCACCAAGGGGGUGGUGGAGCUACAACUAUCAAAUGCUGCCUUACUCACUUCAGCUACAUCGUGCUGCCCUGUUAUGAAAUUGAACACUGCAAAUAUUUCCCACCAAUUUCUUAGUAUGUUUCCGAGGAAAUGAGGUUGGGAUUUUUAUCAAAUUCUGCUCAAUAAUUUUAUCAUUUAAAUUGAAAAAAGUUUUCCAUGUUUGUCUCUGACAUAUACAUAAUCUAUUAUUAUUUAGAGCGCACACAAUCAUUCACCUACUCAUGUAACAUUAUAAAUACAUUGAAAUUAGUAAAAGCAGCCACCAAAGUCCAUAUUCAAGUUUACUCAAGGGAGCAACAAAAUAAAUAAAUAAACUUGUGAAAAAUUGAUAAAGCUUUCUCCUAGAGAGAGAGAGAGAGAGUUAGGUACCAAGAACAUCUCCAGAUGUAAAAACAUGGCGACUAGCCCAGGUGGCGUAGUCGGUGGGGCUGCUAGGAAUACUCCAGCCUAGACUGUCUCCGACAAUAUAGGUAGCCGCAGACGCUUUUCCGACGAGGGCCGCCGCCACGAGCACGGCCACAAGAAAGCCACGACCAUCCAAACCCAUCCUUCCUUCCUUGCUUGUAUAUGUUCUCUGGUCGCCCCUGUAUGAAUAUGAAUAUGAAUUUAUGAUCAAAUUUAGAGGUGUAGAUUGAUAUCUAUUUAUAGAAUAGCCUUUUUGAAAAGUCUUAGUUAUAAUAUCUACUACUAU